UUGCCAUAGUACUCUUGAGGUGGAAUGCUUACACUUUCGUUUAUACAUUAAAUAUAUAUAUCUAAUGUAUGACAUUCAUCAUUGUCUGCUUGGACUAUUAGGGUAUCUAAUCCUGUUUGCUACCCAAGCCUUCGUCUCUCAACGUCAGUUAUUACAUAGAAGGACGCCUUCGCCGUUGACAGUCCUCCUGGUAUCAUCAAAUUUUAUCUCUACUCCAGAAAUUCUUCCUUCUCUCAUAUAACUCUAGUAAAAAAGUACUCGUUUAGAGUUUAAUUUACCGUCUACUUACCCUUUAAACCCAAUAAAGAUAACUAACACUAGCCUCCUACGUAUUACCGCACUGCUGGCACGUGUUUGGUCAAGACUUAUAAAUAGAUUAUGUCAUUAUAUCUAUUAUUUAGCGUAUCGAUGACCU
rnacentral:rRNA from 1 species